GACGAACGCUGGCGGCGUGCCUAACACAUGCAAGUUGAGCGACGAACCAGGGCUUGCCCUGGGGCAAAGCAGCGAACGGGUGAGUAACACGUGGGUAACCUGCCCCGAUGACCGGGACAACCCGAGGAAACUCGGGCUAAUACCGGAUGUGCCCUCCGGACUCAAGUCCAGCGGGCAAAGGAAGCUUCGGCCUCCGCUUCGGGAGGGGCCCGCGGCCCAUUAGCUUGUUGGUGAGGUAACGGCUCACCAAGGCAACGAUGGGUAGCUGGUCUGAGAGGACGAUCAGCCACACUGGGACUGAGACACGGCCCAGACUCCUACGGGAGGCAGCAGUGGGGAAUCUUGCGCAAUGCGCGAAAGCGUGACGCAGCAACGCCGCGUGGGGGAAGAAGGCCUUCGGGUUGUAAACCCCUUUCAGGAGGGACGAAGGUGCGACGGUGAACAGCCGCUCGCACUGACGGUACCUCCAGAAGAAGCCCCGGCUAACUACGUGCCAGCCGCCGCCGUAACAC
rnacentral:rRNA from 1 species